rnacentral:rRNA from 1 species
CAGUCGCCGCGGGAAUACGUAGGGGGCAAGCGUUGUCCGGAAUUAUUGGGCGUAAAGCGUGCGCAGGCGGUUUUUUAAGUCUGGUGUCUAGGUGCGGGGCUCAACCCCGUGACGCACUGGAAACUGGGAGACUUGAGUGCAGAAGAGGAGAGCGGGAUUCCACGUGUAGCGGUGAAUGCGUAGAUAUCGGAAGGAACACCUGUGGCGAAAGCGGCUCACUGGACCAUUUCUGACGCUGAUGCACGAAAGCUAGGGGAGCAAACAGGAUUAGAUACCCCCGUAGUCCCUGUCUCUUAUACAC